GCUACCUACCUUAAGAUGAGCCCCCCAUCCUCCAGUUCCUGCUCUGUUCUUCUCUGCUCAAGCAGGCCAGAUGCUCCUCUGGCACUGCGAGCAGGCGGGAAGCAGGAGUUGCUGGCCUGCUCUGCAAACAGACAACCACUCUGCACUCUUGUGGCUGUGGGAUGUAAGACAAGAAUCAGAGCGGGCAGGCGGGCCGCAAAUAUAUU